rnacentral:hammerhead_ribozyme from 1 species
AUCCAGCUGAAGAGUCCCAAAUAGAACGAAACACGCGUCCUGGAU